AAAUAAAUCAGGCCUCGUCUGCAUGACCAAAGUUCACAGAGCAGCCAGCCAGGAACACUGACUGAACCCUCCUUCCAGCUGUGGCUGAAUUCCACUCUGCCCCACGGGUCAGGAACAAUAAUAAACAGUCAAACCCACGGCAACUGUCCCCACACAGUCAGCCAAAGCAGUAGUCACACACCAUUGAUCUGCUCAGAAGUCAGUUCUGAUGUACCCCGAAUUUGAAAAGUUUCAGGGCUCUGCUCUCUCCUUUCCUUCCCCAGGGAAUGGAGACAGCUACUCUGAAGUUGGCCGGCGGAGAAAGCAUUCAGUCAGUCACGGUGAAAACCCUGUUUCUCCGGAGGUGGUGAUGUUUGAUGCAAGAGUCAUCAGUGGCCACUACAACCACCAAGCUCUGUAUUUGGCUGUGAGGAAGCUUUAGGGCCGAGUCUGUAACUCCUGUAGCACAUGGACAAGACUUUACAGAAUGAGUCCUGCGAUGCCAUGAGCCUCCUGGUUAUAUCUUCCCCCACCUUCCUAUAAGAUGGAUAUCAAACCCCAGCUCAUCUCAACUCAAACAGAGCCUCUCC